UUCGCCCUUAGAGUUUGAUCCUGGCUCAGGACGAACGCUGGCGGCGUGCCUAACACAUGCAAGUCGAACGAAGCCUUCGGGCUUAGUGGCGGACGGGUGAGUAACGCGUGAACAAUCUGCCCUGUACAGAGGAAUAGCCUCGGGAAACCGGGAAUAAAACCUCAUAACACUUCAUAGCCGCAUGGCUGAGAAGUCAAAUCGAAUAAGAGGUAUGGGAUGAGUUCGCGUCUGAUUAGCUAGUUGGUGAGGUAACAGCUCACCAAGGCGACGAUCAGUAGCCGGCCUGAGAGGGUGAACGGCCACACUGGAACUGAGACACGGUCCAGACUCCUACGGGAGGCAGCAGUGGGGAAUAUUGCACAAUGGAGGGAACUCUGAUGCAGCGACGCCGCGUGAGUGAAGAAGGUCUUCGGAUCGUAAAACUCUGUCCUUGGUGAAGAUAAUGACGGUAGCCAAGGAGGAAGCCCCGGCUAACUACGUGCCAGCAGCCGCGGUAAUACGUAGGGGGCUAGCGUUGUCCGGAUUUACUGGGCGUAAAGGGUGAGUAGGCGGUUAUGUAUGUCAGAUGUAAAAGGCGCGGGCUUAACUUGCGUUAGCAUUUGAAACUGCAUAACUUGAGUGCAGGAGAGGUAAGCGGAAUUCCUAGUGUAACGGUGAAAUGCGUAGAUAUUAGGAGGAACACCGGUGGCGAAGGCGGCUUACUGGACUGUAACUGACGCUGAGUCACGAAAGCGUGGGUAGCAAACAGGAUUAGAUACCCUGGUAGUCCACGCUGUAAACGAUGAGUGCUAGGUGUUGGGUAGCGAUACUCAGUGCCGCAGUAAACACAAUAAGCAGUCCGCGUGGGGAGAACGUGCGCAAGUAUGAACCUCACAGCAAUUGACGGGGACCCGCACAACCAGCGGAGCAUGUGGUUUAAUUUGAAGCAACGCGAAGAUCCUUACCAAGGCUUGACAUCCCCUUGACAGAUGCAGAGAUGUGUCCUCCCCUUCGGGGGCAAGGGAGACAGGUGGUGCAUGGUUGUCGUCAGCUCGUGUCGUGAGACGUUGGGUUAAGUCCCGCAACGAGCGCAACCCUUAUCCCUAGUUGCCAGCAUGUAAUCGCGGGCACUCUAAGGAGACUGCCGGUGAUAAUCCGGAGGAAGGUGGGGAAGACGUCAAAUCAUCAUGCCCUCUUAUUUCUUGGGCUACACACGUGCUACAAUGGUCGGUACAACGGGCAGCGAAGAAGCGAUUUGGAGCGAAUCCCAAUAAACCGAUCCCAGUUCGGAUUGCAGGCUGCAACUCGCCUGCAUGAAGUCGGAGUUGCUAGUAAUCGCGAAUCAGAACGUCGCGGUGAAUGCGUUCCCGGGUCUUGCACUCACCGCCCGUCA
rnacentral:rRNA from 1 species